rnacentral:snRNA from 1 species
AAGUUCUUCUCCAAUGCCAGAAC